UGAAUAAUCAGAGAAUUAACCAUUUCCCUGGCAUGGGUGAAAUCUGCCGGAAAGACUGCCUCGCAAGAAACAUGUCUAAAAUGAUCAAGUGCCAGCCUCAAGAGUACAGCUUCAUUCCCAAAACAUGGAUCUUCCCGGCAGAGUACACCCAGUUCCAGAAUUAUGUUCAAGAGCUGCGUAGGAAACGCAAGCAGAAGACCUUUAUCAUCAAACCAGCCAAUGGAGCCAUGGGUCAC